ACCACCACAGCCCUGCCGUCGCCGACCACCCUCCACGCAUCCAAUUCUGCCGUCACCUCCACGCUCCACCACCACAGCCCUGCUAUCACCCCUACAUCGACCACCGCCGCUGUCGCCCCCAACCAUCCAUGCCAGCGCCGGCAAGCACCGCCGCCCCCAACCAUCGCACUGCCGCCGGCCGUUCUCCACCCAUCCACAACCGUCGUCGCCCCCAACCACCCCACUGCCGCUGAUAGUGGUAGAAGAGGAUGAGUGCUUUCGGAAUUGAUGCUCAGAUGAGGGUGGAACAAACUGAUUUUCUUAGCCAUGGAGUUGAUUUCAUCAUCAUACGGACAUGAUUAAGUACACACAUGACUCUGCAUCUCUACAGAUUUAAUAGUUUGCUCUGCUUGCUUCUAAUGUUAGUCCUCGUAUUAGAUGCUAGAUACUCUAGUUCCCGCAGAAGUUACUAUAUCUUGCACUACAGACUAUGAAUUUGUGAAGUAACAUGCCUUGCUGAUCUGAUCUGAUUCAUAUAGAAGUUCUAGUUCAUUCACACAUAUAGGUGUAAGGAUUCUUUGAUUUUGAUGUGUGGUUCAAUCUUAAUCAUAAGGUAUAUAAUUUGGAUUUAGUACACGCAUUUGAUUAUCUUAUCUAUCACUUUGCAAGACUACAAGUGUAAGUGUUUUCUUGUUCAUGACAUAUCAUGGACCAUUGAAAGUUUCUUGUAGUAACAGUCUUGUGUUAAACUGUAUGUAGUUUUGCUUAUUCUGGUUCAUGGUGCUACUUAAUUAAAGCACUUCUUUUAUGAGCUUUUAUCUUAUGCAAAUAAUGUGAUAAUUUAGAAGCCUACUUUUAUGGAUUUGGAUGUCACUUGAAAAAUUAUAAGUGUAAGUGUCUUCUUGUUCUUUGCUUAGCUAGAUGUCAAAGUAUAAGGAACAAGCUCUUGUAGAAGAUAUCUUUUUUUGCGAAAAUCUCACGUACAAGAUGUAAAUGUACAAUUAAGUAGCAAACUCGUUUCCUUUGCUUAAUAAUAUAGCAGUUUUGCAAAACACAAUUCUCUAUUUAAAAUGUGUUAUUUUCACUUGUCCAGUUUCCUUUGCUCAAUUUUUUGAUACGUGUUAAUUUAUUAAAUAAAUCAUCAGCUUGCUGAAUAAUAGUUUUAGGUACACUGUGUGGUGUUUUUGGCUGAUGAAAUAAACUUUGUUUAAUAGGAUUAGGGACAUUUCUGAUUUCUGAACCCCCAACCUGUUCCUAUUUGUUUGUAAGCUCAGUCCGGUAAUACAAGUUAGCAUUUUGUCCUAAUUGUUCUUUGAACUAAAAAGGUAACCUUCUUGUUGUUCGUUCUACACCACUAAUCUGUUUAACCAUCCUUGAGAAAGGCUUUGGCUGUUAUUAGGCAUUGUACGAGCAGAAAUUUGGAAUGGAAUCUCAUUACUGAAGAAAGUUGACAGGAAUGGAGCAUCACUGCGGCGCAACGGGUGGAAUCUAGUGUACAAAAUAGUGAACAUGUAAUUUGUCUUCCUGGGCAUGGCUACAGCCAUGUGUUGUGCUUAACCAUUUGAGUAGCUCAGUUUGAAGAUACAAAAAAAUAUUUUCGUAUGUAAAUUUUGUGUACCCUUGUAGCUUAAUGCUAGUGAACAGAUGUGUGGAUGUGGAAGUACCAAAUUAUUAGUCUAUGAAUGUUUCUAAACUUUAAGGUUUUGAGGCUAUAUGUAACCUUGUUCAAGGUGUAUAUAUAAAUUGCCAAAUUAGCUAACAUAGAAAAUGUAUAUUAAAUUAGAGAUAUGUUGAACAGUUUGCAAGUCAAAUCAAGAUGAUG
rnacentral:lncRNA from 1 species